GCAAAUCCCAUUCUUUCCAGAUUGUAUUUAGCAGAUACGUCAGUUUUUCCAAGAAAGGAUGAUAUUAAACCUCUCUCAGCUCUUGUUACAAGUAAUAUUGGACAAAGUAAAGGACAGUUCUCAAUGGAGAAAAGUCAGAGUCCAUGUGUUGAUGAUUGUGCACAAAAAUUAUCACAAGCAAAUAAAGUUUCUUUCAAGCCUGCUGUUCCUUCAGUUUGUGAUAAAGG
rnacentral:misc_RNA from 1 species